rnacentral:pre_miRNA from 1 species
UUUAUACUUCCUUCGUCCGGAAAUACUUGUCUUAGAAAUGGUUAAAAAUGAAUAUAUCUAUAAUUAAAAUAAGUCUAGAUACAACCAUUUUUAGGACAAGUAUUUUCAGAUGGAGGGAGUAUAUU